AGUUUGAUCCUGGCUCAGAUUGAACGCUGGCGGCAUGCUUUACACAUGCAAGUCGAACGGUAACAGGGAGCUUGCUCCGCUGACGAGUGGCGAACGGGUGAGUAAUGCAUCGGAACGUGCCUAUUUGUGGGGGAUAACGUAGCGAAAGUUACGCUAAUACCGCAUACGCCCUGAGGGGGAAAGCGGGGGAUUCGUAAGAACCUCGCGCAAUUAGAGCGGCCGAUGUCGGAUUAGCUAGUUGGUGGGGUAAAGGCUCACCAAGGCGACGAUCCGUAGCGGGUCUGAGAGGAUGAUCCGCCACACUGGGACUGAGACACGGCCCAGACUCCUACGGGAGGCAGCAGUGGGGAAUUUUGGACAAUGGGCGAAAGCCUGAUCCAGCCAUGCCGCGUGAGUGAAGAAGGCCUUCGGG
rnacentral:rRNA from 1 species